ACCUCCUCACUCCCAUAACNUGUUGUGGAAGUGGAACUGGCAGUCUUAGCCUAGUAGCAUCUUGNUAUUGCUAGGUCUGCUGAAGUGCAGAGGCUUGAGCAUGGACCCAAUCAAGGGCAACAACUUAGUGGGCAUGUCUUCGGACUGCAUGAUCUUAGUUGGUGCCUGGGACGUGCUGGGGGCCGUGUGCAGGAUCCGAUUCACUUCGGAACUUAACUUACUUUUCGACC
rnacentral:rRNA from 1 species